rnacentral:rRNA from 1 species
CCUACGGGAGGCAACAGUCGAGAAUCAUUCACAAUGGGGGAAACCCUGAUGGUGCGACGCCGCGUGGGGGAAUGAAGUUCUUCGUAUUGUAAACCCCUUUCAUGUGGGAGCAAAUUAAAAAGAUAGUACCACUAGAGGAAGAGACGGCUAACUCUGUGCCAGCAGCCGCGGUAAUACAGAGGUCUCAAGCGUUGUUCGGAAUCACUGGUCGUAAAGCGUGCGUAGGCUGUUUCGUAAGUCGUGUGUGAAAGGCGCGGGCUCAACCCGCGGACGGCACAUGAUACUGGGAGACUAGAGUAAUGGAGGGGGAACCGGAAUUCUCGGUGUAGCAGUGAAAUGCGUAGAUAUCGAGAGGAACACUCGUGGCGAAGGCGGGUUCCUGGACAUUAACUGACGCUGAGGCACGAAGGCCAGGGGAGCGAAAGGGAUUAGAUACCCCGGUAGUC